rnacentral:rRNA from 1 species
CCCUUAGAUGUCCUGGGCUGCACGCGCGCUACACUGGAAGUUACGGAUUGAGAUACUACCUUGUCCGAAAUGGUCCGGGUAAUCACCUAAAAGCUUGUCAUAAUUGGAAUGGAUUAUUGUAACUAGUAAUCCUGAACGAGGAAUUCCUAGUAAGUCCCAGUCAACAGCUGGUACUGAUUACGUACCUGCCCUUUGUACACACCGCCCGUCGCUACUACUGAUUGGACGUUUAAGCAAGAUUUUUAAACACUGACAGUGUGUAGUUCACGCUAUACUACAGUGAGAAGAAGAAGAUCGAGCUUACUUGUCUAGAGGAAGUAAAAGUCGUAACA